UGUUUUGUGGCUUAGUUGGUUUAAGCGCUAUUUUUUUUAGGUAUACGGAGUCGUGAGUUUGAAUCUUACCAAAAUCU
rnacentral:tRNA from 1 species